rnacentral:rRNA from 1 species
GACGAACGCUGGCGGCGUGCUUAACACAUGCAAGUCGAACGGAAAGGCCCUGCUUUUGUGGGGUGCUGGAGUGGCGAACGGGUGAGUAACACGUGAGUAACCUACCCUUGACUUUGGGAUAACUUCAGGAAACUGGGGCUAAUACCGGAUAGGAGCUCCUGCUGCAUGGUGGGGGUUGGAAAGUUUCGGCGGUUGGGGAUGGACUCGCGGCUUAUCAGCUUGUUGGUGGGGUAGUGGCUUACCAAGGCUUUGACGGGUAGCCGGCCUGAGAGGGUGACCGGCCACAUUGGGACUGAGAUACGGCCCAGACUCCUACGGGAGGCAGCAGUGGGGAAUAUUGCACAAUGGGCGGAAGCCUGAUGCAGCAACGCCGCGUGCGGGAUGACGGCCUUCGGGUUGUAAACCGCUUUCGCCUGUGACGAAGCGUGAGUGACGGUAAUGGGUAAAGAAGCACCGGCUAACUACGUG